UGUAGCGUGCCUCAGUUUCCCCAUGCGACAACAAAAAGUACUGACCGGUGAAUGCUGAGUUGCGACAAGAAAAAGCAAACUUUGGGGGCCAGGUUUCAUGCCAGGUCCUGCAGCUCACACCAGAGCCCCAGCCCGUUACCAGCUGUGCCCUGCAGCACACUGCCCAGCUGCACCCAAUGUCCCCAGCUGCUGAUGGCCAGGGCUGCACAGCUGUGGGAGAGGAGCUGCUCCCCCGUCCUGAGCAGUCUGUGCUGCCCAGCCUUCGAGGCAGACAUUUUAGACCUGGCCUUUGCACGUUGUGACUCGGCUGCUUCUGGCAACCAGCGCUCACAACUGCUGGAUCGGCUGCACCACGGCGGUGCUUGUGUGGCACUGUGGAUGUAAGGACACCCUCUUGCCUGGAAAAGACUUUCACAUCUCCAGGGACAGUUGCUUCACUUUGCACAUGCCACGUACGAGUAUCAUCAGCAGGAGGAAGCUAUGAAGUGGCCAGAAUCAAACCACAAUCUCCAGUAUCAACAUGCAGCGCAGACAAGGUUGGAGGCAAGAAGAAUUUCUCACCAGGUGCAAAAUUGUAAGUGUAAUUGGAAAUUAUAGCUUGCAACUGAAACAUACUUUUUUUUUUUUUUUUUUUUUUUUUUUCUUUCCCCUCCAUCUUCAUGCUUAAACUGCCAACCUCUUAAAAAGAGGCAUGAUUUGUGACAUGCAGUGCCUGGGGCCUGAGAGUCCAGAGCAGCUUGCAUCCUCAUCUAGGAAACUGAAGAAACAGUCAUUUGUUUGAAUGUUGUAGAAUUAUUUUUUUUCUGGCUGAUAAGCAGGUAUUAAAAGUGAUGGAUGCUAUUUUCGCCAUAUCUGGCCCUUUGGUUGACAACCCUUUAAACGAAGGUGGCGAUCAUCCAAGGAAGCCUCUAAAAGUUAAACUGACACUACUGAUAGAUCCAAAGUUUCAGAGCAAGUGUAUGAAAAAGAAAGAAGAUAACCUACUACACUCAUUAGCCACUAGACAGAAUUCAGUCCCUAAUGCCCAGCUGAAGAUUACAAGCCUCAACAGAUUUAAUCCCAAGCAAACCUCAAUGGUCCUGCUGCAUUUAGAGACUGGGAAUACGACUACCGACAUGCCUGCCCUAGUGCCUGCAUGCUGAGACACGGCGACAGGGGAUCGCAGACUGAAACCAGUGACCUGUGUGUCUGCUGCUGUACUCUGCUCACGUGCAGCUGCCGUGGCCUGGCAUGGCGUGGUCUCCUCUGGACAGUUACACCUGGGUAGGUACCCAGAAGCAAUGUAUAGCCAGACACACCAUUAAAUGCCUACCGAGCACUCACAAAUGGGAAAAAAAUGGAGUUAGGAUGGUUAAAUGCAGACAGGCAAGUGGCAGUGCAGCAAUCUGUGAGCUUUGCUACAUGCCCCGAUUUGUGGUUUCUUCCUCUUUUUGCUAUUUGCUGGACUGCUCCAUGGGCUAAGCACAGCCGUAGAUUAAGAUGUGCACUGUAUGCUCUUGGGGUUGCUUUGGCCACAAUUACUGCUUUUCCACUGCUAACGUGACAUGGGAUUGCCAGUGAGGGAGGUGGAAGUCAAAACUGGCAUUUUCCGCUCUGUGUGUACUAGGAGGUGUAGGGCUCUGUAGUGGAGGAAGAUUUGUUUGUUAAAUCUGAGUUUGAUUCUUGUACCUGAGCACUUAAUUUUAAGAACAAAAGCUGCUGUAACAGUAACACCA